GAUGAACGCUGGCGGCGCGCUUAAGACAUGCAAGUCGAACGGAACUUAGCUGAAUGUUUACAUGAGGCGAAAGUUUAGUGGCGGACGGGUGAGUAACACGUGAGCAACCUGCCUUCGAGAGUGGGACAACAGAGAGAAAUUUCUGCUAAUACCACAUAUGACCACAGUACCGCAUGGUACAGGGGUGAAAGGAGCAAUCCGCUCGAAGAUGGGCUCGCGGCUGAUUAGCUAGUUGGUGAGGUAACGGCGUCACCAAGGCGACGAUCUGUAGCCGAACUGAGAGGUUGAUCGGCCGCAUUGGGACUGAGACACGGCCCAGACUCCUACGGGAGGCAGCAGCGGGGAAUAUUGCGCAAUGGGGGAAACCCUGACGCAGCAACGCCGCGUGCAGGAAGAAGGUCUUCGGAUUGUAAACUGUUGUCGCAAGGGAAGAAGACAGUGACGGUACCUUGUGAGAAAGUCAACGGCU
rnacentral:rRNA from 1 species